rnacentral:rRNA from 1 species
AAGUCGUAACAAGGUUUCCUUCCCGGGGCUUUUCGCGCCUGCCGAAGCCUCCCGCGGCGACUCUAAAUAACCGCGCAGUCCGUCCGUGGAUGGGCGACACGCUCACUGUGCUGGGAGCGACCCUCACCCGUUUCUGGGUGCCGUCACCAGCAGCCUUGGGGCGAUGUCCCGGGGCUCACAGAUCAGAUGAUCGUGGCCACCUCGGUGGUUGAGAUAUGACCGGUCCCCGCUGGCCGCGGCGGGGAGUCAACGUUCCGUAGGUGAACCUGCGGAAGGAUCAUUA